AUGGCGCAGAUACUUUCUCCUGUUUGUACGGAUCUUUUGAAGUUCCAGAACUCAAUUCUUAGCUCCAGAUCAGGUACGUCGCCGCGGUUCUCGGCGAAGACCACCGGUGCUUCUUCAUCUUGGGGCUUACCUCGCUACGCCGGAAGGAGGCGAAGUGGUUCCAUCGGAAGAUUGAGAGUUGCAACUGAGGAUGCUUCUUCUCUUUCUACUGGUGAUGUCGCCGAUGAUUACUAUGCCGUUCUCGGACUGCUUCCAGAUGCUACACAGGAGGAGAUUAAGAAAGCUUACUAUAACUGUAUGAAAUCUUGCCAUCCAGACUUGAGUGGCAAUGACCCAGAAACUACAAAUUUCUGCAUGUUUAUUAACGAUAUCUAUGAGAUUCUCAGUGACCCUGUACAGCGUAUGGUUUAUGAUGAAAUCCAUGGGUAUACAGUGACUGCCAUCAAUCCUUUUCUUGAUGACUCCACCCCAAGGGAUCAUGUUUUUGUUGAUGAGUUUGCUUGUAUAGGCUGCAAAAAUUGUGCCAAUGUGGCUCCAGAUAUAUUUAAAAUUGAGGAAGACUUUGGAAGAGCAAGGGCCUGUAAUCAGCGUGGCAACCCAGAUUUAGUUCAGCAAGCAGUUGAAACUUGCCCGGUUGAUUGUAUCCAUCAGACUUCUGCUGCACAGUUGUCACUGCUUGAAGAUGAAAUGCGAAGGGUCGAAAGAGUGAAUGUUGCUCUGAUGCUUUCUGGAAUGGGAUCAGGAGCAGUUGAUGUUUUCAGAAUGGCGAGAUCUCGAUGGGAAAAGAGGCAAGCAAAAGUUUUGAAUCAAGCUAGAAGCAGAAUGAUGAAGAGGAAAAACACAGACGAAACACCUUCCUAUUGGGAUAACCUCUGGGGCAAACAGAAUGAUUACCAGAAAAGCGAGGAAGAAGUACAAGAACGAGCACAGCGAGCCGCAGCAGCAGCCAGGAGAUGGAGGGAAUACUCGCGAAGAGGCGUGGAUAAACGCCCCACCUUCAAACUCCCAGACUCCGCCUCCAGAGGAGACAACUAAAACCAUAGACAUAAAUCACUUAUAGAUUAUAUAGUGCAAAGCAGCUGGAUUGGAGAAUCAGAUCACUUGUCUUAAAUAUGGACUAGAAGGAGCGAACGCAGCUCUCAAAUGUAUCAAAGAAAUUGCAGAGAAGGAGGAUUUCAGCUGCAAAAGAGUUGAUCAAUCCGGAUUGAAGGACGCUGCUAUGAUCUUUCAAAAGAGGCAUGGUUGGCUCUUUACACAGAAAAUACGAUUGCUCAUCUUUUAGACUAUGAAGAGGAUUCUUUGAAGGUAUUCUUAAACCCUUUCUCUGAAAUGAAAUGGUUUGCUUGCACACCGUUUUUAUAACUUGUACUACUGCUAAGGGUUGGUAGUGCUUAUAUAUGACUGAUCAUCUUUUGAAAUCCUGAUUUUCUCUUGGAUGGCUUGAUGUUUGCCUUUACCAAGAACGAGGAACUAUUAGUCAGAGUUGAAUUUAUGAGAACCCUUAAGAAGCUGGACAAUAAAUCAAGACGAGAACAUACACAAACAGUUGAUGGACCUGAAGCAGAAUGAGCAGCAGCUCGAUAAAGAGCUUUUGAAACUGAAACAGAAUGAGCAGCAGCUCAAUGAAGAGCUUUUGAAACUGAAGCAGAAUGAGCAGCAGCUCAAUUAAGUUUUGAACACUUAUUCAAUGAAGUUCUAGUUCUUCACGAUUAAUUAGGUUUGUUUAAUAUAAAAUCCUCGACUAUAUCAAGUGCAAUACGAAUUACACA